AAAAAAAAAUUAUAUCAACUCAUUUUUCUUCUUCCUUCUCUCUCUUUCCCGAUUAUAUCUCUGCAAGGCGAGAUCGACCAGAACGACAAUCGGAGGAGAUGGAUGGUUAUAUGAGGUGAUCGAAAGUUCUAUCAUCAUCUCCAACGUGGCCGAGUGUCAACGUCGACUGCGGUGCAGCUAAUCGGCGAGUCGAUUCAUGGAAAACGGGGCUAGAUGGUGAAGCUACGGAGCCUGUGAUCAAGGAAUUGGAAGAAGAUAGAGAAGAAUCACAAGAUCCAGAGAUUGAGAUUGCAAUAGCAGGUGCAAUUCGGGAAUAUGGUGGUCUGGAAAUUUUACUUGAUAUGAUCAAGAGUUUACGAGAUGGCUUCAAAUCCAACCAAGAAGAGAUGGUUGCAGUUCUUGAUCUCUUAAAACCAUUGCUGCAAGAUUAGAGAGAACAGGCGAUCCUUACUUAACAUAUGGCGAGCCUGCAGCUAUGGAAGCACUCAUAGAGCAUUUUAGCCAUUACCUGCAAAACUGGUCGGAAUUUGAUCAGCUUCAAUAACGUCAUGAGGAGAACCCCAAGGAUGACAGCAUUGCUCAGCAAGCGGCAAAGCAGAGGUUUACUGUGGAGAAUUUGUCCCUUGGUCGGAAUUUGAUCAGCGGCGAAACAAUAUUUGAUCUCUCAACCUCUCUUUUAUAUUGUUUCUUGUGAUCAGCAAAAACCCCAAUAAGAGCUUCACUAUUG